ACCAAGGCAACGAUCAGUAGCCGCCUGAGAGGGUGAACCGGCCACAUUGGGACUGAGACACGGCCCAAACUCCUACGGAAGGCAGCAG
rnacentral:rRNA from 1 species